rnacentral:snRNA from 1 species
GGCAGGACAGAUACCACGAUCAAGAAGGUGGUUCACCCAGGGCGAGGCUCAGCCAUUGCACUCUGAUUGUGCUGUCCACUGCGAAUUCCCCAAAUGUGGGAAUCUCGACUGCAUCAUUUGUGGUAGUGGAGGACUGCGUUCGCCCUCUCCUCUG